ACACUCGAUAAACAAGCAGACAUGCACGCAAGCUCUGAAGUGCAUGUGCAUCUGAGCAUCCUGAUGAAUCUCAAACCCACCAUGUACAUAUUUCAAGCUGUUAGCUGAUAAUGCUUUAAAGAUUUGACACACAAAAAUGGGAAGAAAAUGAAAAUCUGUAUCAGAAUACAUUUCAGAACACAAGUAAGUAUUCAAAAGUU